rnacentral:rRNA from 1 species
GACGAACGCUGGCGGCGUGCUUAACACAUGCCAGUCGAACGGAAAGGCCCUGCUUUUGUGGGGUGCUCGAGUGGCGAACGGGUGAGUAACACGUGAGUAACCUGCCCUUGACUUUGGGAUAACUUCAGGAAACUGGGGCUAAUACCGGAUAGGAGCUCCUGCUGCAUGGUGGGGGUUGGAAAGUUUCGGCGGUUGGGGAUGGACUCGCGGCUUAUCAGCUUGUUGGUGGGGUAGUGGCUUACCAAGGCUUGGACGGGUAGCCGGCCUGGGAGGGUGACCGGCCACAUUGGGACUGAGGUACGGCCCAGCCUCCUACGGGGGGCAGCAGUGGGGAAUAUUGCACAAUGGGCGGAAGCCUGAUGCAGCAACGCCGCGUGCGGGAUGACGGCCUUCGGGUUGUAAACCGCUUUCGCCUGUGACGAAGCGUGAGUGACGGUAAUGGGUAAAGAAGCACCGGCUAACUACGUG